rnacentral:rRNA from 1 species
AUCUGCCUAUUAGUGGGGGACAACAUCUCGAAAGGGAUGCUAAUACCGCAUACGUCCUACGGGAGAAAGCAGGGGAUCUUCGGACCUUGCGCUAAUAGAUGAGCCUAAGUCGGAUUAGCUAGUUGGUGGGGUAAAGGCCUACCAAGGCGACGAUCUGUAGCGGGUCUGAGAGGAUGAUCCGCCACACUGGGACUGAGACACGGCCCAGACUCCUACGGGAGGCAGCAGUGGGGAAUAUUGGACAAUGGGGGCAACCCUGAUCCAGCCAUGCCGCGUGUGUGAAGAAGGCCUUAUGGUUGUAAAGCACUUUAAGCGAGGAGGGAGGCUACUUUAGUUAAUACCCUAGAGAUAGUGGACGUUACUCGCAGAAUAAGCACCGGCUAACUCUGUGCCAGCAGCCGCGGUAAUACAGAGGGUGCAAGCGUUAAUCGGAUUUACUGGGCGUAAAGCGCGCGUAGGCGGCUAAUUAAGUCAAAUGUGAAAUCCCCGAGCUUAACUUGGGAAUUGCAUUCGAUACUGGUUAGCUAGAGUGUGGGAGAGGAUGGUAGAAUUCCAGGUGUAGCGGUGAAAUGCGUAGAGAUCUGGAGGAAUACCGAUGGCGAAGGCAGCCAUCUGGCCUAACACUGACGCUGAGGUGCGAAAGCAUGGGGAGCAAACAGGAUUAGAUACCCUGGUAGUCCAUGCCGUAAACGAUGUCUACUAGCCGUUGGGGCCUUUGAGGCUUUAGUGGCGCAGCUAACGCGAUAAGUAGACCGCCUGGGGAGUACGGUCGCAAGACUAAAACUCAAAUGAAUUGACGGGGGCCCGCACAAGCGGUGGAGCAUGUGGUUUAAUUCGAUGCAACGCGAAGAACCUUACCUGGCCUUGACAUAGUAAGAACUUUCCAGAGAUGGAUUGGUGCCUUCGGGAACUUACAUACAGGUGCUGCAUGGCUGUCGUCAGCUCGUGUCGUGAAAUGUUGCGGUUAAGUCCCGCAACGAGCGCAACCCUUUUCCUUAUUUGCCAGCGAGUAAUGUCGGGAACUUUAAGGAUACUGCCAGUGACAAACUGGAGGAAGGCGGGGACGACGUCAAGUCAUCAUGGCCCUUACGGCCAGGGCUACACACGUGCUACAAUGGUCGGAAGGGUUGCUACACAGCGAUGUGAUGCUAAUCUCAAAAAGCCGAUCGUAGUCCGGAUUGGAGUCUGCAACUCGACUCCAUGAAGUCGGAAUCGCUAGUAAUCGCGGAUCAGAAUGCCGCGGUGAAUACGUUCCCGGGCCUUGUACACA